UUUCCGUAGGUGAACCUGCGGAAGGAUCAUUCAUAAUAAAGUAUUUUAUGGCACUUUUUAAAAAUCCAUAUCCACCUUGUGUGCAAUGUUAGAUCUCGUCAAUCUUGGCGAGAUUUUUAUACAUCAACUCAUUCUUUAACUAAUUUGUCUGAAAAAUAUUAUGAAUACUUAAUUCAAAAUACAACUUUCAACAACGGAUCUCUUGGCUCUC
rnacentral:misc_RNA from 1 species